rnacentral:rRNA from 1 species
GGGGUAACCCUAGUGGCGCACGGGUGCGUAACACGUAGAUAAUCUGCCCUUCAGAGGGGGAUAACGUUCCGAAAGGAGCGCUAAUACCGCAUACAGCAGUUUCCGGUUCGCUGGAGAUUGGCAAAGGCUGGGAUCGCAAGACCAGUCGCUGAAGGAGGAGUCUGCGGCCCAUCAGCUAGUUGGUAAGGUAACGGCUUACCAAGGCAAAGACGGGUAGCUGGUCUGAGAGGAUGAUCAGCCACACUGGUACUGGAACACGGACCAGACUCCUACGGGAGGCAGCAGUGGGGAAUCUUGGUCAAUGGGCGAAAGCCUGAACCAGCGAUGCCGCGUGAGUGAUGAAGGCCUUCGGGUUGUAAAGCUCUGUGGGGCGAGACGAAAGCCUGGUUUCUAAUAGGAAUCAGUUUGACGGUAUCGCCUUAGCAAGCACCGGCUAACUCUGUGCCAGCAGCCGCGGUAAGACAGAGGGUGCAAACGUUG